GAGGCUUUAGUGGCGCAGCUAACGCGAUAAGUAGACCGCCUGGGGGAGUACGGUCGCAAGACUAAAACUCAAAUGAAUUGACGGGGGCCCGCACAAGCGGUGGAGCAUGUGGUUUAAUUCGAUGCAACGCGAAGAACCUUACCUGGCCUUGACAUACUAGAAACUUUCCAGAGAUGGAUUGGUGCCUUCGGGAAUCUAGAUACAGGUGCUGCAUGGCUGUCGUCAGCUCGUGUCGUGAGAUGUUGGGUUAAGUCCCGCAACGAGCGCAACCCUUUUCCUUACUUGCCAGCAUUUCGGAUGGGAACUUUAAGGAUACUGCCAGUGACAAACUGGAGGA
rnacentral:rRNA from 1 species